rnacentral:rRNA from 1 species
UACGUAGGGACCAAGCGUUGUUCGGAUUUACUGGGCGUAAAGGGCGCGUAGGCGGCGUGGUAAGUCACUUGUGAAAUCUCUGAGCUUAACUCAGAACGGUCAAGUGAUACUGCUGUGCUAGAGUGCGGAAAGGGCAAUCGGAAUUCUUGGUGUAGCGGUGAAAUGCGUAGAUAUCAAGAGGAACACCUGAGGUGAAGACGGGUUGCUGGGCCGACACUGACGCUGAUGCGCGAAAGCCAGGGGAGCAAACGGG